rnacentral:rRNA from 1 species
CAGCAGCCGCGGGAAUACGGAGGAUUCAAGCGUUGUCCGGAAUUAUUGGGCGUAAAGGGCUCGCAGGCGGUUUCUUAAGUCUGAUGUGAAAGCCCCCGGCUCAACCGGGGAGGGUCAUUGGAAACUGGGAAACUUGAGUGCAGAAGAGGAGAGUGGAAUUCCACGUGUAGCGGUGAAAUGCGUAGAGAUGUGGAGGAACACCAGUGGCGAAGGCGACUCUCUGGUCUGUAACUGACGCUGAGGAGCGAAAGCGUGGGGAGCGAACAGGAUUAGAUACCCGGGUAGUCCCUGUCUCUUAUAC